GGACCAUUCAUAAUACCUAGCCACCCGAUCUGGGUUUAUUUAGGUGUCCUAUCAGUGAGAGUAUACAGAGCUCUGCCAUCAUCAAUCCUUUACUGACACCUAAAUAAUUCCUCUGGCCCAAAUAGAAGGAAUGUCUUGUUGAAUUUAAACCACCCUGAAAGCAUGGAGAGAUAAGACUAACCCUCUCAACGAUUUGGAAGUAUCAGGAAAGUCCUGGUUUCUGAAUUAGUAAAUUAGUAAAUUUCUUCAUGGAUUACCUAUCUAGGAAACAGCUUUGACAGAUAUGAAGGAGCUUUCUGAGGACAAGAGACUUUCUGGACUAAAGGAGAACACCAGCCAUCUGCCCAUCUUGACCCAGAGGGGAGAAGAAACUUCUCCGUUCCCAUUCAGUCCAAUGUUGCCCAUCUGGACUGCAGCUACAGGGAGCUGGGAGAGAAGGCCUCUUAUCUAG